rnacentral:rRNA from 1 species
GAUCAAGUGAAAGAAGGGCAUUUGGUGGAUGCCUUGGCAUGCACAGGCGAUGAAGGACGUGAUACGCUGCGAUAAGCCGUGGGGAGCUGCGAAUAAGCUUUGAUCCAUGGAUCUCCGAAUGGGGAAACCCACCUUAAAUACUUGGAAAAUUUAAGUCGUGCUUAGGUACGGCUUAGGUUUCCAAGUAUUGUUUAAAGGUAUCUUAUUCUGAAUACAUAGGGGUAAGAAGCGAACGCAGGGAACUGAAACAUCUAAGUACCUGCAGGAAAGGACAUCAACCGAGACUCCGCAAGUAGUGGCGAGCGAACGCGGACCAGGCCAGUGGCACUGAGGAAUAAAGUGGAACGACAUGGAAAGGUCGGCCGUAGAGGGUGAUAGCCCCUUACACGUAGAACACUCAGUGUCCUUGAGUAAGGCGGGACACGUGAAAUCCUGUCUGAACAUGGGGAGACCACUCUCCAAGCCUAAGUACUCGUGCAUGACCGAUAGCGAACAAGUACCGUGAGGGAAAGGUGAAAAGCACCCCGACAAGGGGAGUGAAAUAGAACCUGAAACCGGAUGCCUACAAACAGUCGGAGCCCGCAAGGGUGACGGCGUACCUUUUGUAUAAUGGGUCAACGACUUAGUGUGACGAGCAAGCUUAAGCCGAUAGGUGAAGGCGCAGCGAAAGCGAGUCUGAAUAGGGCGUUCAGUUCGUCGCAUUAGACCCGAAACCGAGUGAUCUAGCCAUGAGCAGGUUGAAGGUUGGGUAACACCAACUGGAGGACCGAACCCGCAUCUGUUGCAAUAGAUUGGGAUGACUUGUGGCUAGGGGUGAAAGGCCAAUCAAACUCGGAAAUAGCUGGUUCUCCGCGAAAACUAUUUAGGUAGUGCGUCGACCGAAUACCCUCGGGGGUAGAGCACUGGAUGGGCUAUGGGGACUCACCGUCUUACUGAUCCUAACCAAACUCCGAAUACCGAGGAGUACUAGUCGGCAGACACACGGCGGGUGCUAACGUCCGUCGUGAAGAGGGCAACAACCCUGACCUCCAGCUAAGGUCCCCAAGUCAUGGCUAAGUGGGAAAGGAUGUGAGGAUCCCAAAACAACCAGGAUGUUGGCUUAGAAGCAGCCAUCAUUUAAAGAAAGCGUAACAGCUCACUGGUCUAAUUAAGGGUCUUUGCGCCGAAAAUGUAACGGGGCUAAAGCCAUGCACCGAAGCUGAGGAUACGUCGCAAGACGUGUGGUAGCGGAGCGUUCCGUAAGCCUGUGAAGGGAUACCUGUGAGGGGUCCUGGAGGUAUCGGAAGUGCGAAUGUUGACAUGAGUAACGAUAAAGAGGGUGAGAGACCCUCUCGCCGAAAGACCAAGGGUUCCUGCUUAAAGUUAAUCUGAGCAGGGUUAGCCGGCCCCUAAGACGAGGCGGACACGCGUAGUCGAUGGGAACCACGUUAAUAUUCGUGGGCCUGGUGGUAGUGACGGAUUGCUUAACUUGUAC